rnacentral:tRNA from 1 species
GUGGGAUUAGCUCAGUGGUAGAGCACAUGCUUAGCAUGCAUGAGGUCCUAGGUUCAAUCCCCGGUACCUCCA